GAGAUUGCACAAGGGGGGAAACUCUGAUGCGGCGACGCCGCGUGGGGGAAGAAGGCCUUCGGGUCGUUAAGCUCGGUCCUAAGGGAGGAAACGGACGGUGCCUUAGGGGAGAGUCCCGGCUAGCUAGGUCCCAGCAGCCGCGGUAAUGCGUAGGGGGGGAGCGUUAUCCGGAAUUACUGGGCGUAAAGGGUGCGUAGGCGGCCUUUUAAGUCAGAUGUGAGACGCUACGGCUUAACACUAGCUAGCAUUUGAGACUAGAGGGCUUGAGUGCAGGAGAGGAGAGUGGAAUUCCUAGUGUAGCGGUGAAAUGCGUAGAUAUUAGGAGGAACACCAAUAGCGAAGGCGACUCUCUGGACUGCAACUGACGCUGAGGCACGAAAGCGUGGGGAGCAAAC
rnacentral:rRNA from 1 species